AGGGUACAUGUGUGCACACACACACACGUAAUACCAUAAAUAACAUAUUCCCUGAAAUGUUUUAGGUUCUGAUUUGGCAAAGCCCCCCCAAAGUCCAGUUAAGGAGCUCUGGAAGCGGCACAAAAUAAGAAUACUCUCCCAGACUGACAACUAUAAGACAGCCAGAGAACGAGCCAAAAAAGCUGUAGAAAGUUCAAACGUGGACACAGAAGAAGAGGUGGUAAAAGAGCGGGAAAAAGUACCAUCAAAAUACUGGAGCGAGAGUUCAGGAGAAUGUGAGAUUCCUACCAAAAAAGAAGAAUAAUGUCCACAUCCUCUCAGAAGCCAUCAAGCCUCCCAAAGCCUCCAAGUUACAAACCACCUCCUGACAUCACAGCUCACUCACCUGAGGAAGAAGAGCCAUCCCUGCCAAAUCUUUCAGCUAAUAAUACUUUUCAUGAUACAGUUUUUGAGCCUGAUGGGAGGUAGCAACAUUGGAGACGCUGUGAGGAGAAUCCUUCGGAAA